rnacentral:rRNA from 1 species
GACAGAGGUCCCGAGCGUUGCUCGGAAUCACUGGGCGUAAAGGGUGCGUAGGCGGGUCUUUAAGUCAGGGGUGAAAUCCUGGAGCUCAACUCCAGAACUGCCUUUGAUACUGAAGAUCUUGAGUUCGGGAGAGGUGAGUGGAACUGCGAGUGUAGAGGUGAAAUUCGUAGAUAUUCGCAAGAACACCAGUGGCGAAGGCGGCUCACUGGCCCGAUACUGACGCUGAUGCACGAAAGCGUGGGGAGCAAACAGG